AUACGGAGGGUGCAAGCGUUACUCGGAAUCACUGGGCGUAAAGCGCGCGCAGGCGGCUAUUUAAGUUGGAUGUGAAAGCCUACGGCUCAACCGUAGAACUGCAUCCAAAACUAUUUAGCUAGAGUAUGGGAGAGGAAGAUGGAAUUAGUUGUGUAGGGGUAAAAUCCGUAGAGAUAACUAGGAAUGCCAAAAGCGAAGGCAAUCUUCUGGAACACUACUGACGCUGAGGCGCGAAAGCGUGGGGAGCAAACAGGAUUAGAAACCCUAGUAGUCC
rnacentral:rRNA from 1 species